CAGGAUUAGAUACCCUGGUAGUCCACGCCGUAAACGAUGUCGACUUGGAGGUUGUGCCCUUGAGGCGUGGCUUCCGGAGCUAACGCGCUAAGUCGACCGCCUGGGGAGUACGGCCGCAAGGUUAAAACUCAAAUGAAUUGACGGGGGCCCGCACAAGCGGUGGAGCAUGUGGUUUAAUUCGAUGCAACGCGAAGAACCUUACCUGGUCUUGACAUCCACGGAAGUUUUCAGAGAUGAGAAUGUGCCUUCGGGAACCGUGAGACAGGUGCUGCAUGGCUGUCGUCAGCUCGUGUUGUGAAAUGUUGGGUUAAGUCCCGCAACGAGCGCAACCCUUAUCCUUUGUUGCCAGCGGUCCGGCCGGGAACUCAAAGGAGACUGCCAGUGAUAAACUGGAGGAAGGUGGGGAUGACGUCAAGUCAUCAUGGCCCUUACGACCAGGGCUACACACGUGCUACAAUGGCGCAUACAAAGAGAAGCGACCUCGCGAGAGCAAGCGGACCUCAUAAAGUGCGUCGUAGUCCGGAUUGGAGUCUGCAACUCGACUCCAUGAAGUCGGAAUCGCUAGUAAUCGUGGAUCAGAAUGCCACGGUGAAUACGUUCCCGGGCCUUGUACACACCGCCCGUCACACCAUGGGAGUGGGUUGCAAAAGAAGUAGGUAGCUUAACCUUCGGGAGGGCGCUUACCACUUUGUGAUUCAUGACUGGGGUGAAGUCGUAACAAGGUAACC
rnacentral:rRNA from 1 species